GGGUUGUGAGGUUAAGCGACUAAGCGUACACGGUGGAUGCCCUGGCAGUCAGAGGCGAUGAAGGGCGUGCUAAUCUGCGAUAAGCGCCGGUAAGGUGAUAUGAACCGUUAUAACCGGCGAUACCCGAAUGGGGAAACCCAGUGUGACUCGUCACACUAUCAUUAACUGAAUCCAUAGGUUAAUGAGGCGAACCGGGGGAACUGAAACAUCUAAGUACCCCGAGGAAAAGAAAUCAACCGAGAUUCCCCCAGUAGCGGCGAGCGAACGGGGAGGAGCCCAGAGCCUGAAUCAGCAUGUGUGUUAGUGGAAGCGUCUGGAAAGGCGCGCGAUACAGGGUGACAGCCCCGUACACAAAAGCGCAUGUGCUGUGAGCUCGAUGAGUAGGGCGGGACACGUGGUAUCCUGUCUGAAUAUGGGGGGACCAUCCUCCAAGGCUAAAUACUCCUGACUGACCGAUAGUGAACCAGUACCGUGAGGGAAAGGCGAAAAGAACCCCGGCGAGGGGAGUGAAAAAGAACCUGAAACCGUGUACGUACAAGCAGUGGGAGCCCCACCACCAAAGCAUUCUCUGGUGUUGAAGGCCCUGCAAAGCAGCAUCGCGGUGGCGGAGCGUCGUUUGCGACGCCCAACACACAAAACAAGCGGUGAGUGCUUUGGGGUGGGGUGACUGCGUACCUUUUGUAUAAUGGGUCAGCGACUUAUAUUCUGUAGCAAGGUUAACCGAAUAGGGGAGCCGGAGGGAAACCGAGUCUUAAUUGGGCGUUAAGUUGCAGGGUAUAGACCCGAAACCCGGUGAUCUAGCCAUGGGCAGGUUGAAGGUUGGGUAACACUAACUGGAGGACCGAACCGACUAAUGUUGAAAAAUUAGCGGAUGACCUGUGGCUGGGGGUGAAAGGCCAAUCAAACCGGGAGAUAGCUGGUUCUCCCCGAAAGCUAUUUAGGUAGCGCCUCGUGAACUCAUCUCCGGGGGUAGAGCACUGUUUCGGCUAGGGGGCCAUCCCGGCUUACCAACCCGAUGCAAACUGCGAAUACCGGAGAAUGUUAUCACGGGAGACACACGGCGGGUGCUAACGUCCGUCGUGAAGAGGGAAACAACCCAGACCGCCAGCUAAGGUCCCAAAGUCAUGGUUAAGUGGGAAACGAUGUGGGAAGGCCCAGACAGCCAGGAUGUUGGCUUAGAAGCAGCCAUCAUUUAAAGAAAGCGUAAUAGCUCACUGGUCGAGUCGGCCUGCGCGGAAGAUGUAACGGGGCUAAACCAUGCACCGAAGCUGCGGCAGCGACACUGUGUGUUGUUGGGUAGGGGAGCGUUCUGUAAGCCUGUGAAGGUGUGUCGUGAGGCAUGCUGGAGGUAUCAGAAGUGCGAAUGCUGACAUAAGUAACGAUAAAGCGGGUGAAAAGCCCGCUCGCCGGAAGACCAAGGGUUCCUGUCCAACGUUAAUCGGGGCAGGGUGAGUCGACCCCUAAGGCGAGGCCGAAAGGCGUAGUCGAUGGGAAACGGGUUAAUAUUCCCGUACUUGGUGUUACUGCGAAGGGGGGACGGAGAAGGCUAUGUUGGCCGGGCGACGGUUGUCCCGGUUUAAGCGUGUAGGUGUGUGUUCCAGGUAAAUCCGGUUCACUUUAACACUGAGGCGUGACGACGAGGCACUACGGUGCUGAAGCAACAAAUGCCCUGCUUCCAGGAAAAGCCUCUAAGCAUCAGGUAACAUCAAAUCGUACCCCAAACCGACACAGGUGGUCAGGUAGAGAAUACCAAGGCGCUUGAGAGAACUCGGGUGAAGGAACUAGGCAAAAUGGUGCCGUAACUUCGGGAGAAGGCACGCUGACACGUAGGUGAAGUGAUUUACUCAUGGAGCUGAAGUCAGUCGAAGAUACCAGCUGGCUGCAACUGUUUAUUAAAAACACAGCACUGUGCAAACACGAAAGUGGACGUAUACGGUGUGACGCCUGCCCGGUGCCGGAAGGUUAAUUGAUGGGGUCAGCGCAAGCGAAGCUCCUGAUCGAAGCCCCGGUAAACGGCGGCCGUAACUAUAACGGUCCUAAGGUAGCGAAAUUCCUUGUCGGGUAAGUUCCGACCUGCACGAAUGGCGUAAUGAUGGCCAGGCUGUCUCCACCCGAGACUCAGUGAAAUUGAACUCGCUGUGAAGAUGCAGUGUACCCGCGGCAAGACGGAAAGACCCCGUGAACCUUUACUAUAGCUUGACACUGAACAUUGAGCCUUGAUGUGUAGGAUAGGUGGGAGGCUUUGAAGCGUGGACGCCAGUCUGCGUGGAGCCGACCUUGAAAUACCACCCUUUAAUGUUUGAUGUUCUAACGUGGACCCGUUACCCGGGUUGCGGACAGUGUCUGGUGGGUAGUUUGACUGGGGCGGUCUCCUCCUAAAGAGUAACGGAGGAGCACGAAGGUUGGCUAAUCCUGGUCGGACAUCAGGAGGUUAGUGCAAUGGCAUAAGCCAGCUUGACUGCGAGCGUGACGGCGCGAGCAGGUGCGAAAGCAGGUCAUAGUGAUCCGGUGGUUCUGAAUGGAAGGGCCAUCGCUCAACGGAUAAAAGGUACUCCGGGGAUAACAGGCUGAUACCGCCCAAGAGUUCAUAUCGACGGCGGUGUUUGGCACCUCGAUGUCGGCUCAUCACAUCCUGGGGCUGAAGUAGGUCCCAAGGGUAUGGCUGUUCGCCAUUUAAAGUGGUACGCGAGCUGGGUUUAGAACGUCGUGAGACAGUUCGGUCCCUAUCUGCCGUGGGCGCUGGAGAACUGAGGGGGGCUGCUCCUAGUACGAGAGGACCGGAGUGGACGCAUCACUGGUGUUCGGGUUGUCAUGCCAAUGGCACUGCCCGGUAGCUAAAUGCGGAAGAGAUAAGUGCUGAAAGCAUCUAAGCACGAAACUUGCCCCGAGAUGAGUUCUCCCUGAGACUUUAGGUCUCCUGAAGGAACGUUGAAGACGACGACGUUGAUAGGCCGGGUGUGUAAGCGCAGCGAUGCGUUGAGCUAACCGGUACUAAUGAACCGUGAGGCUUAACCUUACAACGCCGAAGCUGUU
rnacentral:rRNA from 1 species